rnacentral:rRNA from 1 species
CGCCCCACUUGUGGGGAGUCGGCGGACGGGUUAGUAACGCGUGGGGAACGUGCCCUUUUCUGCGGAAUAGCCUCUGGAAACGGAGAGUAAUACCGCAUACGCCCUUUUGGGGGAAAGAUUUAUCGGAGAAGAUCGGCCCGCGUUAGAUUAGAUAGUUGGUGGGGUAACGGCCUACCAAGUCUACGAUCUAUAGCUGGUUUUAGUAGGAUGAUCAGUAACACUGGGACUGAGACACGGCCCAGACUCCUACGGGAGGCAGCAGUGGGGAAUCUUGGACAAUGGGCGCAAGCCUGAUCCAGCAAUACCUCGUGUGUGAAGAAGGCCCUAGGGUUGUAAAGCACUUUCAAUUGGGACGAAGGUUGUGUAUUUAAUACGUGCAUAACUUGACGGUACCUUUAGAAGAAGCACCGGCUAACUCCGUGCCAGCAGCCGCGGUAAUACGGCAGGGUGCAAGCGUUAAUCGGAAUUACUGGGCGUAAAGCGCGCGUAGGUGGUUGUUUAAGUCAGAGUGAAACCCUGGGCUUAACCUGGGAACUGCAUUUGAUACUGGGCGACUAG